rnacentral:rRNA from 1 species
AUUGAACGCUGGCGGCAGGCCUAACACAUGCAAGUCGAGCGGAUGAAGGGAGCUUGCUCCUGGAUUCAGCUGCGGACGGGUGAGUAAUUCCUAGGAAUCUGCCUUGUAUUUGGGGAUAACGUCCGUAAACGGGCGCUAAUACCGCAUACGUCCUGAUGGUGAAAGUGGGGGAUCUUCGGACCUCACGCUAUCAGAUGAGCCUAGGUCGGAUUAGCUAGUUGGUGGGGUAAAGGCCUACCAAGGCGACGAUCCGUAACUGGUCUGAGAGGAUGAUCAGUCACACUGGAACUGAGACACGGUCCAGACUCCUACGGGAGGCAGCAGUGGGGAAUAUUGGACAAUGGGCGAAAGCCUGAUCCAGCCAUGCCGCGUGUGUGAAGAAGGUCUUCGGAUUGUAAAGCACUUUAAGUUGGGAGGAAGGGCAGUAAGUUAAUACCUUGCUGUCCUGACGUUACCAACAGAAUAAGCACCGGCUAACUUCGUG